UACAGAGGCCCCAAGCGUUGUUCGGAUUCAUUGGGCGUAAAGGGAGCGUAGGUGGUCGGGUAAGUCAGAUGUCAAAUUUCGACGCUCAACGUCGAAUCGCAUUUGAUACUGCCUGGCUAGAGGAAUUGAGAGGAGGCCGGAAUUCACGGUGUAGCAGUGAAAUGCGUAGAUAUCGUGAGGAAGACCAACGGCGAAAGCAGGCCUCUGGAAAUCUCCUGACACUGAGGCUCGAAGGCCAGGGGAGCAAACGGG
rnacentral:rRNA from 1 species